UACGGAGGGUGCAAGCGUUGUUCGGAAUCACUGGGCGUAAAGCGCGUGUAGGCGGUCCGAAAAGUCGAGUGUGAAAUCCCGGGGCUCAACCUCGGAAGUGCAUUCGAAACUCUCGGGCUUGAGUACGGGAGAGGGAAGCGGAAUUCCUGGUGUAGAGGUGAAAUUCGUAGAUAUCAGGAGGAACACCGGUGGCGAAGGCGGCUUCCUGGACCGAUACUGACGCUGAGACGCGAAAGCGUGGGGAGCAAACAGG
rnacentral:rRNA from 1 species